UACGGAGGGGCGUAGCGUUGUUCGGAAUUACUGGGCGGUAAAGACGCACGUAGGCGGACUCUUAAGUCGGUGGUGAAAUACCUGGAGCUCAACUCCAGAACUGCCUUCGAUACUGGGAGUCUCGAGUUCGGGAGAGGUGAGUGGAACUGCGAGUGUAGAGGUGAAAUUCGUAGAUAUUCGCAAGAACACCAGUGGCGAAGGCGGCUCACUGGCCCGAUACUGACGCUGAGGUGCGAAAGCGUGGGGAGCAAACAGGAUUAGAUACCCCCUGUAGU
rnacentral:rRNA from 1 species